rnacentral:rRNA from 1 species
UACGGAGGGUGCAAGCGUUAUCCGGAUUCACUGGGUUUAAAGGGUGCGUAGGCGGACAGGUAAGUCAGGGGUGAAAUCUCUGGGCUUAACCCAGAAACUGCCGUUGAUACUAUUUGUCUUGAAUAUCCUGGAGGUAGGCGGAAUAUGUCAUGUAGCGGUGAAAUGCUUAGAUAUGACAUAGAACACCGAUAGCGAAGGCAGCUUACUACAGGAUGAUUGACGCUGAGGCACGAAAGCGUGGGGAGCAACCAGG